GCGUCAAUAGUUCAACGGGACAGAGCGCGCGCUUCCGGAUAGGGUGAUAUGCGAGUUUGAGUCUCGCCUGGUGCA